GACGAAGGAUGCAAGCGUUAUCCGGAUUCAUUGGGUUUAAAGGGUGCGUAGGCGGACUUGUAAGUCAGUGGUGAAAUCUCUCAGCUUAACUGAGAAACUGCCAUUGAUACUGCAAGUCUUGAGUACAGAUGAUGUUGGCGGAAUAUGACAUGUAGCGGUGAAAUGCUUAGAUAUGUCAUAGAACACCGAUUGCGAAGGCAGCUGACAAAACUGUAACUGACGCUGAGGCACGAAAGUGCGGGGAU
rnacentral:rRNA from 1 species